GAAGGCGCGGGAUAGCAAUUUUAAAAGUAUCGGUAGGGGAGCAUACUCACAGCGUUGAAUGGUGUACGUAAGUUAUCCUGGAGCGGUGAGUAAAGCAAAUGUAGGAAUAAGUAACGAUAAGGAGGGUUAGAUUCCCUCCCGCUGUAAGACCAAGGUUUCCCGGGCAAUGCCAAUCAGCCCGGGGUCAGUCGGGUCCUAAGUCUAAGCCGAACGGCGAUGGCGAUGGCAGAGACGGUUAAUAUUCCGUCACUGCCGCAUGGGGCGACGUGGAGACGGAGCAGUGAAACCACCGCGGGGCGACGGAAGUCCCCGUUGAAGAGUGUAGGUGUUGAGGAUGGCAGGCAAAUCCACCAUCCGAGCUGAACUUGACAGUAUGGAGUCUUCUUCGGAAGAAUCCAAUAGUGUGGGUAA
rnacentral:rRNA from 1 species